rnacentral:rRNA from 1 species
UACGUAGGGUCCGAGCGUUAAUCGGAAUUACUGGGCGUAAAGCGUGCGCAGGCGGUUUUGUAAGCCAGAUGUGAAAGCCCCGGGCUUAACCUGGGAAUGGCAUUUGGGACUGCAAGGCUGGAGUACGGCAGAGGGAGGUGGAAUUCUCGGUGUAGAGGUGAAAUUCGUAGAUAUCGAGAGGAACACCGGUGGCGAAGGCGGCCAACUGGACGAAUACUGACGCUGAGACUCGAAAGCGUGGGGAGCAAACAGG